CCACAGUGGGAGGGGACACUCAAGCUACGGUACGUAUCUCUUCCCCUUGGAGGCCCGCACUCUUCACGUGCUGCUGGUACUGGAGGAUCCACAAGCGUCAAUGAUACAAAGUAAGUAAUGUGCACCUGUAAUCUUUGUAGGUUCAGGCAAUGUCUCCACCCACUCGCAAGUUCAACUACAUUGGCUGAGUGCAAGCAGGAUCUGUAGUAAUACUGAGUACUUACAAACGCAGAAAGCUAUGUCUACAUCUGCACAAGGUAGAAUCACAAUGAACUUGGCCCUUGAUUAUUUUUGUCAUGAGUUGUAUUUCAGUCGAUUGACCUAUGGUCGGAAGUGUGCCUUGUAUACCACACCUUUGAAACUUUGUUAAAUCUGAAUUGUGUGGAUGGCAAGCAGUACAUCAGGCUUUGUUUCCUUUGUACUGAUUUAAUAUACCCGCUGGUUCGGCUGAUUAGUGCUACGCUGUGUGGAUGGCGCAAGCAGUACAUCAGGCUUUGUUUCCUUUUUACUGAUUUAAAAUACAUGCUGGCCCGGCUGAUUAGUGCUACGCUGUAUAAGUUCACAGUGCACUUGCAAUUGCUUAGUAACUGUAGUAGAUGGAAAUGUACCAACAUGUCGUAGUUAUGUUGUUGACUUGCUAUAUUGCUCCUUUUCCUUUUGUAAGGUAUCUCAGACUGUGGGAUUUUUUGUUCAACAUUAGACGAAAUAUUCAGCUCAAUUUUUAUAUUGUACCAUUUGUUUCCCACACUUGUCUUUCGAAUUGUCCAUUUGUUAUUUGGAUUUUUUAGAUUUAACUGUGUAUCCGACAUGCAUAUAAUAAUAAUUUUGUUUAGAUAUUAAAAAUACAAUAUCAUUGUCAGGAACUUCUACAUCCGAUUAUUUCUCAUAUAUUUGGGGUCUGAUGCAGCAAAGGUAAUACCUGCUUUGUGUUUUUAGAUUGAUAACAAUGAAUUAUUCCAGAUGUAAAAGGAAUUACUAAAAUCAACUAGAACUGAUGCUACAUAAGUUUUUUCUUUUCAUAAUUAAAUUAUUUCCCUCUUGAUAAAAAAAUAGUAUUCUAGAGAACUUAGUUCACAAGACAGAAAAGAAGCAAAGGUGUGUUAUGCAACUUUCAAUAAGGUGGAAAUAAACAAGACUAGAGGUGGGGAGAGAGAGAUAGAGAUGUUUUUUUUAGAGAAGAGAGAGAUAGAGAUGUUACACAUGAUUCAUUCCUGAACCACUAGAACUUGUUGUUUUUUCUCUCAUCUGUUGGCCAUGCCCGGCCUUAGAUUGGGCUUGAUUUGUAUUUAUGCGUAACUGUGCACAUUUUGGUCAGCUAUGUGUCAUGUUUAGGCUUUUCUGCGCUGUCUCGGCUGAAAGCCAUUUUUAUCGGAAUGUUGGUUGGUGCAUAUAGUUUUACUGCCAUGUAGAAGAAUGAAGUACGUAAGUGGUAUUUGUUUCUUUGCGUAUGAAACUAGGUGUCUUCGUUACAAGUAAAUCAUUAUAAGAAUGGAAACGACCCUGUUAGAUCCCCAUAAAGGUGGUACCGCAAUAGCCAGGAACGGAUUGAGGUAAUCAAGGGAUGAAUUGGUGUGUGUUAACCAUUUAAUUUGAACAUGGUAUGGCAAUUGUCGCACUCUGUUUCAGUUAGCUGA
rnacentral:lncRNA from 1 species